CCUACGGGUGGCAGCAGUGAGGAAUAUUGGUCAAUGGUCGGGAGCCUGAACCAGCCAAGUCGCGUGAGGGAUGAAGGUACUGAGUAUUGUAAACCUCUUUUGUCAGGGAACAAAGGCGGGGACGUGUCCCCGGAUGAGUGUACCUGAAGAAAAAGCAUCGGCUAACUCCGUGCCAGCAGCCGCGGUAAUAAGGAGGAUGCGAGCGUUAUCCGGAUUUAUUGGGUUUAAAGGGUGCGCAGGCGGUCGAUUAAGUCAGCGGUAAAAGCCCGAGGCUCAACCCCUGCGCGCCGUUGAAACUGGCAGUCUCGAGUUGGAGAGAGGUAUGCGGAAUGCGUGGUGUAGCGGUGAAAUGCAUAGAUAGCGCGCAGAACUCCGAUUGCGAAGGCAGCAUGCCGGCGCCACACUGACGCUGAGGCACGAAAGUGUGGGUAUCGAACAGGAUUAGAUACCCGUGUAGUC
rnacentral:rRNA from 1 species